GCACAAGCGAAGGAUGGCGGUGCUGCGCAUAGUAUCGCGUCCAGUGAUGGAGCCGGUAGUUCUUUGAGUAACAGUGUUACCAAAGGUGGUGGUGCAAGUAGGUCAGACGCCAUGGCUGAACAUGGAGAAAGUGUGGCAAAUGCUGUUGCCGACGAAGAUGAUGGUGAUGGAAGAUUUGAUCCUAAUGCUUUCGAAUCAGCAAUGAAUGACUCCAUCAACCCCGGAGAGAAGGGAAAUCGCAAGAAUCCAGACUGGAAAUGAUAAAGAUCAACCCAUAAUUUCUUCGUCGACUGAUAGGAAUAAUUAUAAUUCGGCUCCUUCAAUUAGUCAAAUUGGUCAUGAUGUCAUAACUUCUGCUCCACCGAGGAAAAAAAGUUACCCUGGACGAAGUAUCAAAAUUUAGUAAAUC